UGCUGGGCGGGAACUUCCUCUGUGAGCCAUGGAGGAGAUUGAGUUUGAGAAAUGAGAAGGUCACUACUUUUCUUUGAGUAUCAAAUGUCCGGGAGGGUUUGGACCAGAUUAGUCUCCACUGUGUUGGCAAGUUUCUCACCACAUUUCUGUUUGUCCUGGAAAUUCUGAGUGUUUUUCAUCAUCAUCUGCUCUGGAAGCUCCUUGACAAGAGGUCAGCUCCCAACUGCUCAGCGCAAGCUUCACCAAGAUGUAAGCAGCCAAGCGCAUCUUCAAGAACCUGGAUGCAUCUUGCACUUCCUGUUUUCUUUUAGGAAAUGACAGGAGUCUAGCAUAACUGCCCUACAAGAGACUCCACGCAGCAGUGGGUUGAAACAGAUGCCAAACAUUAGAUGGAGCUUGGAGGAGCCUUCUGGAAGAGU